GUUUCCCUACGAUUACUGAAGUUAAGCAACAUUGAGCCUGGUCAGUACCUAAAUGGGUAAUCGCUUGGGAAUACCAGGUGCUGUAA